rnacentral:misc_RNA from 1 species
AUACCUACGCAGUCGAAAAAUGGAAUGAUGCACAUAACAUCAUUAUUGUACCUAUAUUUGUUCUCUCUGUAUCAUUUUGAUUUUGACUGUAACCAAAAUUCAGGAAUUCAGAAUAAAAGUUCGUCAGUUGUACAGAAGUUGAACUGUUUUUAACAGUUGCUUUUCUAGUAGGAUUUAAUAUCAUAGUACAUGUGCAGGCAUCAUUGAGUCAAGAAUAUUUUAUUACAAUUAAAAAAUGAAUGCUCUCAUUUAAAUUAUAUUUCUCAUCCACAAAAUAAUCAAUGCAUAGCAAAAUAUAACCUUCAAAUUUAUUAUCUUCUGGUAUACUUGUUAAUUUAAUCAAGAUAGUACAAAAUAAUAUUGUUUAAGUUAAAGUGAAUACAUUUGUGUACUACUGUAAAUCAAGUGGUUUUUUGUUCCAAUAACUAAAUGACUAAAUAUAUAACAGGAAAUCAUGAAAAAAACUAGUGGAUGUUCAUAAACAAAUUGCCAUUUACUAUCAAACUAAACAAUGGAUGUUGGAGAAGAGAGCAAGGGUCUAGUGACUGUAGUUGCUGGAGAGUCUGAUCCUCUAAACAAUAGUCAAGCGACAGUAGCAACUAUUCAACUAGAUCCGUCAUCAGAUAUGGAUUUACUGAGCAACUGUCAAAGUGGGAUGGAAGGCACUGUGAUAAUUUUCGAUAAUGAUUCACAACAAGGAAUUGUGAAAUUAGUUAAUAGUGCUGAUGUACAAAACAGUCUAGGAACUGUUCCAGAUUCAGAUGAUUUAGAUAAUUUUAUAACUCUUCAUGCAGCAACUACUGAUCAAAAUAUUGCUGUAUCUGUAGAUGAAACCAUAGCACUCCCUGCUGAACAACAUUAUACAAUAGCAGCUGAACAGCAAAUAAGUUUACUUGAGAAAGGAGAAAAUUUUAUAUUACCAAAUGAACAACAAACUGUUUCACUAUCCUCUUCUCAAGAAAAUAUUGGUAUUAGUGUAGAUCAACAAAGCAUUGCAUUAUCUAAUCAACAAGAUAAUGUUUUGAUAUCCGUUUCGCAACCUGAUAUAACUAUUAACCCAAAACAAGAAAGUAUAACUUUAACAUCCCAACAACAAAAUAUCACCCAAGAACAGCAAAAUGUUGAUUUAGCUUCAGAACAACACAAUAUCUCAGUAAUCUCAGAGCAACAUAAUCUACCUACAACUUCGGAACAACACAAUUUCCCUGAAACACUAGAACAAAGUAAUAUCACUAUAGCUCCAGAACAACAUAAUAUCACUAUAACUACAGGAGAACAGAGAAUAACAAUACCAAUCGAACAACAUAGUGUUAUCGAACACUCUGAGGUUUCUGAACAAAAUAUUACUAUUUCCACUCAAAAUAGUGUUACAAAGUUUGACGAACCAAAUCUCUCUCAAACUAAUGAGCAAAAUAUUGAAACUUUUGCUGAUAAAAUAAUUGAGGAAACCACUGAGUUUCUUUCUUUUAAGCCUGAUCAGAAAGAAAUAAAACAAGAAGAUGCUACUCCUGCAGCAGAAUCAGAUGACGAUGAAACAAUUGCUACUUUUACCACAUCAACUGGUCAGCAGCUAGCUCUGUAUGCUGUAGAAGACUCGGAUGAAGUAUUUGCUGUAGCUCUUUAUGAUGAGUCCGGGGAACCACCAACUAAUUUUCAUUUUUUGAUGAAAGCGGAUGUUGAAAGACUAAUUGGAGAAGGUGCUGUCAAAACAGUAAAAAAACCUAAUGCCCAACAACGCAAAGAAGCUAAAGAAAAACUAGCUAAAGAAAAAAAAGAAAAAGAGGAAAUUAAAUUUGACAAAUAUCAAGCAGUUAUAACUAACAUAGAAAAACCGGAUGAAAUUCAAUACCUAAAGAAAGUUGAGGAAAUAAAAAAAGAAGUUGGAGAAGGUGCCCUUCAAUUCAUUGCACAACCAAGGCCUGUAGCUCCAAAAAUUGAACCUCUAAAACCUGUUAUAUCUAAACAACCUAUCAGCAAAAUUUUGGAAGGAGCUAAUAACAAAAGUGUAUUACCCUCCAUUCAAAGACGAAAUAUUGUCAAACAAUUAACGCCAAAGCAACAAGUAACACCAAGAACGCAAGCAACAGCUACUCUUACGUCACAAAUAGUUCUUAAAUCUCAAUCGUCACCUAAACUGCAAGCAAAUGCUAAAUUACAUUCAAAUUCUAAACUUCAAUUUACUCCUAAAUCACUUCCUUCUCCAAAUUCAGUUACAAUGCCUAAACUUCAAGGAACAACUUUUGUACCAUCAAAAGUCAAUCCACAAAUGGCAUCUAAAAUACAAACUAAUAUCAAAAAACCAGUAACGCCCAAGUUGCAAGCUAAGUCUAAUCCACAGAUAAUACCUAAGGCCCAAGUAAUGAAUCGACAAGUUACAUCUAAAAGUGAUUCUAGUAAUCAAUCUAUUCCAAUGAAACAAAUAUCUAAGCAAACUUUUGUUGGAAAACAACAGCCACAACAAUUCAUUGUGGCAAGACAAACUGGAGUUAAACAAACAGUACCCGUUAAGCCAGGAAAUUUCAUAAGACAAUAUCCUCCAGGAAAAACACCUAUUGUUAAGCGAAUAUUUCCAGCUAACCAAACAACAAUCAUCAGACAAAAUCCAUCCAACAGAUCACCUGCAUACAUCAGACAGAUAGCAACAGGACGACCUACUACACUGAUCAAACAAGUUCCUCCUCCAAAACAAGGAACAACUCAAAUUAUUAGACAAAUUAGUCCAGGAAAAAAAAUGAUUACCAAACCUAUACUGAAUCAAGAAGGCAGAAUAGUUAACGUAGUAACGCAGCAUUUGGUAGAAAGAAAAAAGGAACAUCAAGUAACUUAUCUUCUUCCAAACAAAAACAGUCCUUACAUUCAAGAAAAUCCAAUUGAAGAUAAUGAAGAUAGUGAACUAGAAUUGAUGGAACAAUCAACAAUGCAAUAUGUUCUUUGUGAUGGUGAUACUUCGGAAGGUGAAUUGACUUUUGAUGAACUUCAAGCUUCUUUACAGUCAAUUAAGAAAGAAAAGUUAAAAACUAUUCCUAAGAAGAUUAAAAAAAUUCGACCAUCAUGGUGGGUUAAUAAAAGUAUCAAACGACAGGAAAAUAUAACGAAAAUUUCACCUGUUGUUAAAUGUUCGCCCAAAUUGCCACCAAUAAUAACUCAGAGAAAGGUUUCAGUCACAGCGCCAAUGGUCUAUCGCACAUACAGAAGUAGCCCAAAAAAACUUCGUACUCCAAAUAAUUUGCUUCAAGCUCAUCGUAAAAUAAAAAAAGAAGAUGAAGAUCCUUCUUACAUAGAAGGUAAUUUAAAUUCUUCUGAAGAUAUACAAAAAAAUGAUGAUACACCAGUUUUGGUAACACCAGUAAGACCACGAUCUAGAAAACAGCAGUUGACCGUAGUCAAUCGAGCUGACUCGGAAAUAAUAAUUCAACCAGCUAGCGCGUAUUCUGAAGAUGAUGAAGAAAUAACCCAACCACGUAAACGUGGACGCCGGAAAAAGCAAACGACCAAUGAUCCCGAUUAUAAUCCUCGAGCAUCGGCUAGCAAAGCUAAGAAACGUACUAACCAGUCGGUUGAGCUUAUUGAAAUUGACGCAGAAGAGGCAGACGAGAACAGUAAAAAAUCAUCAAGUGAUAAGGAAAAUGAUGAUUUAGAGUCUGACUCAGAAGUAGAACCAAAACAAAAGCAAAAACCUAAACAAGUAUUUAUGCAGUGUAGUGAUUGCAAUCGAAAUUUUCGAAAAAAAAAAGUCUUAGAACGACACAUGCAAAUCUGCACGAAAAAUCCAACUAAUAUACAAAAAAUGGAAGAAAAAAAGGCGCUGGAAGAUUCUAAAGAAAAGAAAUUUACAUGCAAAGCAUGUGGUGAAAAAUUCAGUGUUGCCGUAUCGUUAGCACGACACGUGAGAGCUACGCAUUCACCAAAAAAGAGAGGUAGACCACGCAGAACCGAUCACAGAGAAGAUGACACUACAGACAUGGAAGAAAGUAGCGACGAUGAAAAAGCGAACAUUCACGAUAAAGAUCUUAAAAAGAAGGGCAAAUUGUCACCAAAGAAAAUAACUCCAACAAGAGAAGAUAGUGGAACUCCGGAAAUUGAGCUGAAACUUGAUAGUUCCAGUGAAAAUGUGAAAGAACCACCGAAACGCCGUGGUCGUCCACCCAAAGCCAUCAAAAAAGAGAUCUCUGAAACACCUGACAGUAAAAGCAAACCAUCUGCCUUAUUGAGUGAACCACGUCGACGAGGGAGACCUCCUAAGCAAAGAACUAUUUCAAAAGACGAGCACUCAGAAUCCUCAGAACCGGAAGAGAAAAAUAAAAUUGAACGACCGAUUGCUCAAGUUCCAAAAAAGCGUGGUCGUUGGAGCGAUCGUAUCUCAACGAGUACUCCGGAACCUGUCGAAGAGUCUAAAAAACGAGGUCGACCACCUACAAAAAAGAAAGAAAAUCAGUUGACCGAAGACGAUGAAAAUGAAAAUAAAUCUGACGAAGAUGAUGAUAAAAGUGUACCGAUAUCAGCGGGUCCUCUUAAAAAACGGGUUCGAUUACUAGCUAAAUCAGUGUCUGAAUCUGAAGAAAAAUUACCGGAAUCGACUACAGAUGAGCCCAAAAAACGUGGUAGACCUACAAAAAAAAAAGAUGAAUCUCAUACUGAAGAUGAUGAAGAUGAAAUAGAAAAUGAAAAUUUAAAGGAUGAAAAGGAAGAUAAAAAAUCAACUGCAGAUAAAGAAGGUAGAACGAGUACAGGAGAAAAAAUUAUUGCCCCUCCUAAAAAAAGAGGUAGACCGUCUAUGAAAGAUAAACUUUUGUCUGAUUCAGUUUACAAUAAAACCGAAGAAAUCAAAAUUGGCACAGAUAAAAAUAUAAAAGACGAAAAGCAAACGAGCGAAAAAUUACCGCUUGAACCCUGUCAAAUAGACAUUAAAGAAAAAGAAAAAGAACUAUUGGAAGAAUCAAAGAAACGUGGACGAACGGCGGAAGAAAAAUGCAAAGACGAAACAUCAUUUAUCGAAGAACAUAGCCAAUCAUCUGAAAUAACCAAGAAAAAAUCGACAACAGAUAAUGAUCAGAAGGAAGAUUCGCCGGACUUGGAUGAAAUGAUAGAAGAGUUAGUUGAAGUUCUCGAAAAAACGCCUCGAAAACGUGGAAGAUUCACUAGAAAAAAUAAAGAAGACGAAUCUGAACUUGAAGAUAAUUCAGAAGACGUAGGAGAAUUAAAAAAACGUGGAAAAUUAGUCAAAGAUAAAACGGACAUUGUAGACUCGAACGAAAAGGUAGACGAUCAAACUGCUUCACCACCCAAAAAGAGAGGCAGACCUGCCAAGUCUAGUAAAGAACAAUCAAUGAUGGAAGUAGAAGAGCAAAUGGAAGAAAUGUUUGCGUGUUUAGAACAAUCAAAUCCUCAUGUUAUAAAAAACAAAGAUAAUACAGAAUCUCUGUCUGAUCCUAAAAAAAAUAAAAAAUCUGACGUCAUUGAAAGCUUAGAUGUUUCUGAAUCAGGAGAAAAAUUUUCAACCACCAUAGAAACUUUGCCCAAGAAACGUGGCAGACCCCCUACAAAAGUUGACAAAGACGAUGCUCUGAUUCACGAAGAUAAAACUGAGGGUGGUCCCCAAUCUAAAUCUGACAAAACUGAUGAAUCAGAAAAUUCUUCUAAGGAACUGCAAACUAGAAGUCGCGCUUCUAAAAUAGAGAGCAAUUCAGAAUCUGAAAUGAAAUUGGAAUCUGCGUCAACGUCAAAAGGAGAUGCAAGAAAACGUGGAAGACCAAGUAAAUCUGAAAAAUCAUCGAAAGACAUAGUAUCCGACGAAGAAUUUAUAGCAAAUGAAGAUAGUACAACGGCUGGUGAAAUGAAUACGACCAAAAAUGUAUCAGAAGAAGAUAAAUCAACCGUUACUUCGAAUACCCCAAAGCUGAAAAAAUUCAGUUGCGAAAAUUGCCAUGAAUUUUUCACAAGUGUUGCAGCAUUAAAUGCACAUAGACUCACGCACAGGACUAAGAAGUCUGGUGAGUGAAUGUUGAAAGCAGUAGUGAAAAACUCUAUUAAUUCUUUUCAUUUCAUGAGUGUUAAUUUCUCUUUGGUAUGUUAGUGUAUCACUGUUCAACAUGCAAAAAGUUGGUACCAGCUGAGGCGUUUUCCAAGCACUUGGCAAGUCAUGGCCGCAAAGGU